UGGGGAAUUUUACGCAAUGGGGGAAACCCUGACGUAGCGACACCGCGUGAGCGAAGAAGCCUUUUGGGGUGUAAAGCUCUGUCAGCUGGAACGAACACAAUGACGGUACCAGCAGAGGAAGCAUCGGCUAACUACGUGCCAGCAGCCGCGGUAAGACGUAGGAUGCAAGCGUUGUCCGGAUUCAUUGGGCGUAAAGAGUUCGUAGGUGGUCUGUUAAGUUUGGUGUUAAAGAGCGGGGCCCAACCCCGAUAGUGCACUGAAUACUGGCAGACUUGAGUGCGGUAGAGGUAAGUGGAAUUCCAAGUGUAGCGGUGAAAUGCAUAGAUAUUUGGAAGAACACCGGUGGCGUAAGCGACUUACUGGGCCGUAACCGACACUGAGGAACGAAAGCCGGGGUAGCGAAU
rnacentral:rRNA from 1 species